rnacentral:rRNA from 1 species
UUUGGGGAGAACCAACAGGGAUUGCCCCAGUAACGGCGAGUGAAGCGGCAACAGCUCAAAUUUGAAAUCUGGCCUCGGCCCGAGUUGUAAUUUGCAGAGGAAGCUUUAGGCGCGGCACCUCCUGAGUCCCCUGGAACGGGGCGCCACAGAGGGUGAGAGCCCCGUAUAGUUGGAUGCCCAGCCUGUGUAAAGCUCCUUCGACGAGUCGAGUAGUUUGGGAAUGCUGCUCAAAAUGGGAGGUAAAUUUCUUCUAAAGCUAAAUACCGGCCAGAGACCGAUAGCGCACAAGUAGAGUGAUCGAAAGAUGAAAAGCACUUUGAAAAGAGGGUUAAAUAGCACGUGAAAUUGUUGAAAGGGAAGCGCUUGUGACCAGACUUGCGCCGGGCUGAUCAUCCGGUGUUCUCACCGGUGCACUCGGCCCGGCGCGGGCCAGCAUCGGCUCCCGCGGGGGGACAAAGGCCCCGGGAAUGUAGCUCCCCCAGGGAGUGUUAUAGCCCGGGGCGCAAUGCCCCCGCGGGGACCGAGGUACGCGCUCCGCAAGGAUGCUGGCGUAAUGGUCACCAGCGACCCGUCUUGAAACACGGACCAAGGAGUCAAGGUUUUGCGCGAGUGUUUGGGUGUCAAACCCGCACGCGUAAUGAAAGUGAACGUAGGUGAGAGCUUCGGCGCAUCAUCGACCGAUCCUGAUGUACUCGGAUGGAUUUGAGUAGGAGCGUUAAGCCUUGGACCCGAAAGAUGGUGAACUAUGCUUGGAUAGGGUGAAGCCAGAGGAAACUCUGGUGGAGGCUCGCAGCGGUUCUGACGUGCAAAUCGAUCGUCAAAUCUGAGCAUGGGGGCGAAAGACUAAUCGAACCAU